CCUACUCCAACAGGGCCACACUUAAUAGUGCCACCCUCUGGGCCAAUCAUAUUCAAACCACAACAGUCAAGGUGUUUCAUCACAGCAAUACUAACUCUAACUUGGACACUCACUGUGGUAAUUCAUAAGCUAACAGUGACAGGCCUAGUCAUGUGUCUGUGACCCAAGUUUAAUUUGUCACAGUAUUUCCCAUAGGCUUUCCAAGUAGGACUGUCAUAAAGUUAGGAUCAUGUGAGUCUAGAACUCCAGGAUGCGAAAUAAGGAAAGGAAGAAAGGUUGGUCAAGGGGGAUGAGGAAGAGAAUGAGAGGGAGCAGAAGGGAGAGAGAGAAUAAGCACAAAUAUAAGAGGCAUACACAUACAUCUCUAAUGCUAUCUGAGUUCCUGAUCCACUCAAUCUCUUUCCCUACUAUGGGUUAGACAGUUAAUUUCUCAUUUUAUACCUGAAACAAAUCUGAGUUAUGGGGAUUUUGUUUUUGUUAUUUGAAACCAAAAGAAACCUUGACUGCCAAGGUUCUUUUUUUUUUUUUUCCUUUUGGUAUCCUGUGAUAAGAGCUUUGAUAAGAGAAGUAGCAUAGCCUCUGAGCAUGUCAAGUCAGAAGUGUUCAAUCUAUCUGCCAACUUUGAAUACAUGGAAAGAAUCCCAGCCACAAGCUUGUAACAUUUAAGGUUGGAUCCUUUCCCAUAGGAUGCCCCUGAGUCAAGCUUCACUGUGAAGGUGACAUUUAUCCAAAUUGGGACCACAGUCAGGUAGUAAUAGCAAUUGUCCAGUCCAGAGCUGGAGAGUGUCCGCUGAAGAAGUUAGAAAGGUUUGUGGGAAUCAAACAGUAGUGUCAAUAGUUGCCAGAUUGCUAAGGAGUUAGGGUUGUAACUAUUGCACAGUGCAAACCAAAUUCAAGGCUUUGAAGAAGACCGGAAGAUUAAAUUGAUCACAGAAAUUUGGUGGAGGGUAAAUUUGAGAGAGAACAGUCAAGAAGACCAGAUAAGAGUUCAGAGAAGUUGCUGGCCUGUUGGUGAUUCACUGCCUAAGUCUGUGAACAGAAGUGAACAAGGCUACAUCAUCCAUGUAGAACGAGAGAAGCUCAAGGAUAGAAUCAUGGUUCAUAACAUCCAGGAAGCAGAUAAGAAGACAUACCAAUAUGUACACCCCCACUGUGGAGACAUGGCUAGAGAAUCCAGGAAGGAUCUUGAGAAAGGAAACUGGUUCUUAGCCCAGCACAGUGUCAAAAUACCUAUAAGUGCAGGGGGGCCGAGGCAGGAGGGCUGCAAAUACCAGGCCAGCCUGGGCUAUACAGCCAAGUUUAAGGCUAGCCUGGACAACUUUGCAUCUGUCUGAAACACAAAUGUUCGGUGGUAGGUCAUUUGCCUAGCGUUUGCAAGAUCCUGUGUUCAUUCAGUAUGAGAGAAGAAGAGAAACAGAGAGAAAUUGUUUCUUAGUUAUAAACGUGUAUCCUACAUCAGCUUAAAAGCAUCAUGUCAUCAGGUACUGCCUAGACUGGACUCCAGCACCACCAAACGAACAAACAAGCUCCCUUGAUGGCUAGGUAUGGGGUGUGUGCCAACAAUCCCAGUAGGCGGAGGCAGGAGUAUGUUGACCAUGAGGGCCAGGCCAGCCUGUGCUAAAUAUUUACACUAAAGGAGGAGGAGGAGGGAGGAGGAAGAAGAGGAAGAGAAGUAAGAAAGACAAAGUAAAAGAAAAAUGGAGGUCUAGAGGUCUUCCUAGAGCUCAUCAUAGUUUCAUCCACUUAUUCUUUCUUUGUCUUCUUACUAGAUGGAGUUUCGUAGAAGGGACUUCAUGUAUCUGCCUAUUUCUAGGGUCUACUGCACUCCAUACCACAUGAUCUGAUGUCUAGUAAACAUUUUCUGAAUGAGUAGAACUGGAAAGAAACAGAGAACACAACAUAUAAACUGGAGUUUAGCUGUUCAACAUGGCAGCCACUAGUCUCGUGGAGGACUUGGAACACCCCAUUUAGAAGUCUAGAUUUAGAAGACAAUAGUACCCAAAACUGAGGAUGGUAGCUUGCUGGAGGCAGCCUGUGUUCAAAUUUCGACAGAUCUUGUAAUUUUGAGUCAAUCCCUUACCCCGUGACUUCUGUUCAGGGGAACAUACAACAGAGCUUAACUGGGAAUACAGGUAAACGCCUCAACUCCUCCUUAUGUUGUCAGUACCCAUCGCUUGGCCUUGAAAGGAGAGUCGUGAACCAUGUACUCGGAAACGAAACCAGUUCUACUGGGCCUACUUGGACACGGAAGCAGGGGGCACAGCUAAAGUACACAGCUUUACUGCCAUGCAUGGGUGAGAGAAUGGAACUGUGGGGAGGGUACAGUGGGAAUCCCUAGAGUUUGGGGAUUGAGCUCUGGAAACUCAACAGAGAUUUUUUCUGCUGAGGUGCUUUGCUUUCUGGAGAUCAAAACAAACCCCCAAACCCUAGAAACAGACAAGUGUUUGUAUUUGGGAGCCAAGUAUUUGACUUUGGUUGUUAGGAGAAUGAAACAACGUAGUUUUUUGUUUUUUCCUUUUUUUCCAGAUCUCCUUUUAAAAAGCAACGUUCUUGGGAUAAGAACAAACUUGCUUCAGCAAGUAAGUCACCUUACAGUACCGGUGCCACCGUGAUACUUAAUAUUUAAAUGCUAUUGGUGUGUGGUGCAGAGUGGUUCAAGGAGUCAAAAGUCAAAAUCUUGAU
rnacentral:sRNA from 1 species